rnacentral:rRNA from 1 species
UUUAGCCUACGGGGCGCAGCAGUGAGGAAUAUUGGUCAAUGGGCGCGAGCCUGAACCAGCCAAGUCGCGUGAGGGAAGACGGUCCUAUGGAUUGUAAACCUCUUUUGUCGGGGAGCAAAAGACGCCACGCGUGGCGUUCCGCGAGUACCUGAAGAAAAAGCAUCGGCUAACUCCGUGCCAGCAGCCGCGGUAAUGCGGAGGAUGCGAGCGUUAUCCGGAUUUAUUGGGUUUAAAGGGUGCGCAGGCGGAAUGUCAAGUCAGCGGUAAAAUUUCGGGGCUCAACCCCGUCGUGCCGUUGAAACUGG